rnacentral:tRNA from 1 species
GGCUAUUUAGCUCAGUUGGUAGAGCACAGCAAUCAUAAUGCUAUGGUCGGCGGUUCGAGUCCGCCAGUAGCCACCA